UCCGCAAAGGUGGCCCAUUCAAGCCAGAAGGAUGAGGUGAACCUGCAGUUGUAGCAUAGAAGGCUCGGACACAGAGACACCAACGUCAUUCUAGACUUAAAAAGUGUACUUCAUCAAAGAAAAGAGUGACACACAGGAAAUGUUCCAGAAAUACAUAGCCAUGGUCAAAAACAAGUUCAAGAGAGCUCCAGCUAUGCUAAUGACUGACAAUGGAGAAGCAGAGUAUGUUGCAGCUACAGAAGCAUGCAGAGAGGUUGCCUGGCUGGAUCAACUCAUUAAGGACUUUGGGUUGGUGAGCAAGGUACCUGUUAAGCUGC